GACGAACGCUGGCGGCGCGCCUAACACAUGCAAGUCGAACGGAGCUUAGAGAGCUUGCUUUUUAAGCUUAGUGGCGAACGGGUGAGUAACGCGUGAGUAACCUGCCCUAGAGUGGGGGACAACAGUUGGAAACGACUGCUAAUACCGCAUAAGCCCACGGUACCGCAUGGUACUGAGGGAAAAGGAUUUAUUCGCUUUAGGAUGGACUCGCGUCCAAUUAGCUAGUUGGUGAGGUAACGGCCCACCAAGGCGACGAUUGGUAGCCGGACUGAGAGGUUGAACGGCCACAUUGGGACUGAGACACGGCCCAGACUCCUACGGGAGGCAGCAGUGGGGGAUAUUGCACAAUGGGGGAAACCCUGAUGCAGCGACGCCGCGUGGAGGAAGAAGGUUUUCGGAUUGUAAACUCCUGUCGUUAGGGACGAUAAUGACG
rnacentral:rRNA from 1 species